rnacentral:rRNA from 1 species
AGGGAAUCUUCCACAAUGGACGAAAGUCUGAUGGAGCAACGCCGCGUGAGUGAUGAAGGUUUUCGGAUCGUAAAACUCUGUUGUAAGGGAAGAACCAGUACGUCAGGCAAUGGACGUACCUUGACGGUACCUUAUUAGAAAGCCACGGCUAACUACGUGCCAGCAGCCGCGGUAAUACGUAGGUGGCAAGCGUUGUCCGGAAUUAUUGGGCGUAAAGCGCGCGCAGGUGGUUUCUUAAGUCUGAUGUGAAAGGCUACGGCUCAACCGUAGUAAGCAUUUGAAACUGCAGGGCUUGAGUGCAGGAGAGGAGAGUGGAAUUCCUAGUGUAGCGGUGAAAUGCGUAGAUAUUAGGAGGAACACCAGUGGCGAAGGCGACUCUCUGGACUGUAACUGACGCUGAGGCACGAAAGCGUGGGGAGCAAACA